GAUGAACGCUAGCUACAGGCUUAACACAUGCAAGUCGAGGGGUAACAAGAGAAAAGCUUGCUUUUUUUGUUGACGACCGGCGCACGGGUGAGUAACGCGUAUCCAACCUGCCUAUAACUAGGGAAUAACCUUGCGAAAGUAAGACUAAUACCCUAUGACUUCCUUUGAUGGCAUCAGAUUAGGAAUAAAGAUUUAUCGGUUAUAGAUGGGGAUGCGUCUGAUUAGCUUGUUGGCGGGGUAACGGCCCACCAAGGCAACGAUCAGUAGGGGUUCUGAGAGGAAGGUGCCCCACAUUGGAACUGAGACACGGUCCAAACUCCUACGGGAGGCAGCAGUGAGGAAUAUUGGUCAAUGGGCGGAAGCCUGAACCAGCCAAGUAGCGUGCAGGAUGACGGCCCUAUGGGUUGUAAACUGCUUUUAUACAGGAAUAAAGUUAGCCACGUGUGGUUAUUUGUAGGUACUGUAUGAAUAAGGACCGGCUAAUUCCGUGCCAGCCGCCGCGGUAA
rnacentral:rRNA from 1 species